rnacentral:rRNA from 1 species
UACGGAGGAUGCAAGCGUUAUCCGGAUUUAUUGGGUUUAAAGGGUGCGUAGGCGGAUAUGUAAGUCAGUGGUGAAACUCACAGGCUCAACCUGUGCCGUGCCGUUGAAACUGUGUAUCUGGAAUGCGGAUGCUGUGGGAGGAAUGUGUAGUGUAGCGGUGAAAUGCAUAGAUAUUACACAGAACACCGAUUGCGAAGGCAGCUCACAAAGCUAUUUCUGACGCUGAGGCACGAAAGCGUGGGGAG